rnacentral:misc_RNA from 1 species
GAUGAAGAACGUAGCGAAAUGCGAUAAGUAAUGUGAAUUGCAGAAUUCAGUGAAUCAUCGAAUCUUUGAACGCACAUUGCGCCCGCCAGUAUUCUGGCGGGCAUGCCUGUUCGAGCGUCAUUUCAACCCUCAGGCCCCCAGUGCCUGUCGUUGGGGAUCGGCGCGGCGCCCUCCGGGGCGCUGCCGGCCCCGAAAUUCAGUGGCGGUCUCGCUGUAGCCCUCCUCCGCGUAGUAGCACAACCUCGCGGCCUGGAGCUCGGCGGUGGCCAUGCCGUAAAACACCCCACUUCUGAAAGUUGACCUCGGAUCAGGUAGGAAUACCCGCUGAACUUAAGCAUAUCAAUAAGCGGAGGA